ACAUUUCCUUUAGAUUUAAUUAAAGGUAAAGCCUGCCCACUGCAUGUAAGUAAAGGGCCGCGGUAUAUUGACCGUGCAAAGGUAGCAUAAUCAUUAGUCUCUUAAUUAGGGAAUGGAAUGAAUGGCUAUAUGAUUUACUAUUAUAGCUUAAAUAAUUUGAUAAAAAUUGAAUUUGAAGUGAAAAUUCUUUAAUUUAGUUAAAAGACGAUAAGACCCUAUAGAAUUUUAUUUAGUGGCUAGCAGCUAUUCUAGGUUUAAUUGGGGCAUUUAUUAAGUAAUUAAAAUUUUUUUAAAAAUUUAUUUUAAAGUAUCUUUAUUAAUAGAUAAUAAAAAAAUUACCUUAGGGAUAACAGCGUAAUAUAUAUUGAGAGGCCAUAUCGACAUAUAAUUUUGCGACCUCGAUGUUGAAUUAAAAUUUCUUAUUAGGGCAGUAUUUAAUAAAGAUAGUCUGUUCGACUGAUAAAAUUUUACAUGAUUUGAGU
rnacentral:rRNA from 1 species